AGCAUCUUUUAUGAAAUCAGCCUCAGGUGAUGAAAAUCUGUGUUGUUUUAAAAGCCCUGGCUUGAGGCCUGUUUUAGAAAGUAAUGGUGAUUGUUUAAUCUGUAAUCAAGAUGGCUGUUUCAAACUUUAUGUUUUUAGUAUUUAUGUGUCACCAACUGGUGCUCAAUGGUUUUGCUUCUCCAGUUGGGCGUCAUUUAUACCAGCCUGGUAUUAAGCAAUUAUGUUUGAAGAGCAAAGGUGGCCCCUUGUCUUUUCCUUGUGUGAUCAAAAAAAAUCCAACAUGGCCAGUGGUAGCGAAUUCUGAUAUGGCAGUUGUGCUUUCUUUGCAGAAUGCAUCUGGGCUAACUCUCCA